UCAAGAGUGCAUUCGGGCGAGC
rnacentral:sRNA from 1 species